rnacentral:rRNA from 1 species
AUGGCGACGGGGGCAAUAGAAGACAUGGAGUUCCUGUGGAGGUGGCGCAAGUACCUGCUGCUAUUCGCCAUGCUGGUCGCCAGCGUCACCUACGGGGCUGGGCUGAACCCGCCGGGUGGCGUCAGGUCCGAGGACGGGGGCAACGCUUCAGAGCACCGGACAGACGGCGUCGGUGUCGACCCGCCGCUGCCCCCGCCGCCGCCGGCAGUCUACCCGUUUCUCGUCGGCGACCCGCUGCUGGCGUCAACCUACUCGCGUCAGUACACCGCCUUCUUCUACUGCAACGCCGCGGCUUUCGUGUUGUCCCUGGUGAUCAUUAUGCUCCUGCUCGACCGGCGCCUCAGCCAAAACCGCGUCGGCCUCACCGUGCUCCGCUCCGCCAUGCUGCUCGACCUGCUCGCUCUCAUGGCUGCCUUCGCAGCCGGGAGCUGCUGCGACGUCGUCGCGUCCAUCUACGUCUCGGGGCUCUUCGCCCUCGUCUUCGCCUACGUCGCCCUCCACCUCUGCGUGUCCACCUCCCGCGCGGACAGCCACCUCGAGGAGCAGCGGCGCAGGUACCCGCUGCUGCUCGCCACCUUUGCAACGCCUCUCACGUACAGCGCCGGGCUAACGCCUCCGGGAGGCUUCUGGAGCAAGACCGUGGCUGGGCACCACACUGGCGACCCGCUGCUGCACGACGGGUCCUACAAGAUUGGCUACCAAGCAUUCUUCUACGCCAACGCAAUCUCCUUCGUGGCAUCCCUCGCCAUGGCCAUGAUGGCCAUGAGCCCGACGUUGAGCGGUCGACUCGUCCGAUCCUACGCGUUGCCGGUGUGCAUCCUGGUGGAGCUGCUCGGCCUCAUGGCCGCCUACGCCACCGGGAGCUGCAGAUGGCCCACCUCAACGGUGUACGUCUUCUCCCUUGGCGGCGCUGUGCUCCUAUACAUCGUGCUGCAGAUGGUCGUCGCGACGUGCGCCAUGGAGACGCUCAAGCAAUUGCGUGGAACGGUCUGCCGCAUACUGUCAUGCGCCGACCGGCCAGAAGAAGAAGAAGAAGGAGAAGGAGAAGAAGAAGAAGAAGAAGAAGAAGAAGAAGGAGAAGGAGAAGGAGAAGGGACGUCGCGAUGUAGCAUUGUAGACGGCUACAAUGUGGAGGCAGAGGCUAAGGUGGAUGAGUCGCGGGCACUUCUGCUGCUGCUGGCCACGCUCGCAGCAACGGUGACCUACCAGGCAGGGCUGAGCCCGCCGGGCGGUGUCUGGCCAGAUAACAACGACCAAGGGCAUCCACACCACAUCGCGGGGAACCCGGUUCUCCUCGAUAUGCACCCCAAGAGGUACAAGGCCUUUUACUACUGCAACACGUGGGCGUUUGUGGCGUCGUUGGUCAUCAUUAUCAUCCUCCAGAGCAAGGAGUUGAGCUCGGCCGCCAACAUUAGACGCGCCGCGCUCAAGACAGCCAUGGUGCUGGAGCUGUUCGGGCUCAUGGGUGCCUACGUUGCCGGUGGCUGCCGGGACACCACCACCAGCAUCUAUGUCUUUGUCGUGGCCAUCGCUAUGUUUGUCUACUCUAUCGCCAUGGUCAUGGUGUACACGGCUCAUGGGCAGAGCCGGCUGAUGAAGUGGGUGCACCGCAUGUCGGACAAGCUUGGAGGGGUGUUCCACUUGCACUCCCGUUAUGGCUCCGAGAGUGGCGCACAAGAUGAUAAUCGCCUCGAGAGGAAGCGCCAAUUCUUGCUGCAGCUCUCCAGCCUCGCCGCCACCGUCACGUACCAAAUCGGGCUUAACCCACCUGGCGGGUUCUGGACGGAGAGUGACAGGGACAGAUCAGUCACCGCCGGCGACCCCGUCCUCCUCGACCACUACGUGUUAGGCAGCUGCCGGCAAUUGCGCACCUCCAUCUAUGUCCUUGCGCUCGUGGCCGCGGUGGUCGCCUUCCUCGUCCUGCAUUUCAUAUUACUAGUGUCGGCGGGCCAUUGGUCGUUGCUGCAAUGGCUUCCACAACAGCUGAAGAGGCUGUUCGAGCCGCUGCCCGUACUGCAGUUGGCCAACGAGAACCAAAGGAAUGUGCUCUCCCUCUCCGGCAAGCAACAACACCGAAAACUAAUGCGCUUGAUGGUUCUCGGUGUCCUUGCGGCGACUGUCACGUACCAGUCGGGUCUCACGCCUCCUGGGGGCACGUGGGGCGACGACAAUGAUACCGGGUCGUCAUGGUCCCCAUCGGCGUACCCGCUCAUUGUUGCAGGCAACCCGAUCCUGAUGGACACCAACCCAGAACGGUACCAGGCCUUCUUCUAUUGUAACUCGACAUCAUUCAUGGCCUCCAUCGUUGUCAUCAUGCUGGUGCUGCAGCACGCCGUGAUGCGACGUGGCAUGCCGCUUUGGGUGAUGCAGACCGCUGUGGUGCUGGACCUGCUCGGUUUGCUGGGCGCCUACACUGCUGGCAGCUGCAGGGAUUGGGAGACGUCCGCGUGCGUCAUGGGGCUCAUUGCUGCGGUGGUCGUCUUCAUCACGAUCUACGCGGUGUUGUCUAAAAAGAAAAUAAUAUCAUGGAAGUGCUUGGGAGAAAAUCAUAGUGAUGACGUUCAGUUCAGCCGCAAUGUGUAA